rnacentral:sRNA from 1 species
GCUGGGUGUGGUGAUGCACUCCUGUAAUUCCAGCUACUUGGGAGACUGAGGCAGGAGAAAUACAAAUUUGAGACAAGCCUGAGCAACUUAGUAAGACCCUGUUUCAA